AUGAACGAGAAUGUUUUAAAAGAAGAUUUAGAUACAAAGAUAGAAAAUAUUAUUCAAUACUGUCAUGAGAAAAGUAUUUCACAAAAUCCUGUUGAAAUUUUGCGAUAUAUGCAAAAAAAGUUGAUGACUGGAAGGCCUCUUGAAAUUACAGACCUUGCUGUUUGUCGAGAUGGAGAGACAUCUUUUGAUCUUGUUGAUCGUUCAAAUAUAUUGACGACUGCGUUUGAAGAUUUUUCUAUAUUGCAGAAUGGAAAACUUCCGAAAUUUCUAUGCAAAGUCACAUUAGAUGAGAUUUUUUAUGCCACUGCGCUAUUGAUUGCUCAUUCUCUACCUGCCAUAUUGCAGCUUUUUAAUUCAUGUGAUGUAGAAAAACUGACAUUCAAGCGGUUGUCAACACUUUUAAAGCCAUUAUUUGCAAAAAUUGGAUCAAAUGAUUACAUGUUUCAAUCUAAAUGUUAUGCUGGUGGUAGAAGAAAUGGCGUUACUUUAGAAAGAGUGUUACAAUUUGUGACUGGGGCAGCAGCAGAACCUGUGUUAGGAUAUGAAUUCCAUCCAUCCAUUUCAUUUAUUGGUGCUGAAAAUAGUUGGAUUGCAAUAUCAAACACAUGUUCCAGUGUAUUAAGUUUACAAAGGUCAUCUAUCGAAAAUAAUAUACCAUUAGAAGAAAUAUUAUUUCGACUUUAUGACUUAGUAUUCAAUAAUGCCUUUUUUGGCAUUUUGUAAAGUUUUGUCCAAAAAAUUGUUAAUGUUUUCUUUGAUUUUUAUUGUUAAGCUUUAUAACUUUUAAUUGUGUUUAAAAAAUUAAA